AAUACUGAAUAAUUAAAACAAUUUCAAUACAUUUUUGACAGUUUAUUCUUUUAAUAUUUUUAUCCUAGAAUAAAAUCCACAUGAUGCUCCACAAUUAUGUAGUAAAAAUGCUAUUUACCUUGAGCAGAAAUAUAGAGAAAAUUAGAAUUUCAAAAAAAAAGAGAGAAGCAUUGCACUAAAUUUAGCUGCAUGGUCUCAUUUGUUUAUUUAUUUAUUUGGUGGCUGUUUGUGAAGGAAUUAAGCUUUUUCUGAAAGCGCUGAACUUUGUGCUGAUUUCUGAUCUUUAGAAAUACGAAGUUCAGAAGUUCAAAUAUAGCAAUGAAUUUUUACAUUUUUUAUCUCUCUCAGAUCUGUCCUAAUCAGCAUUGAUCUAAUGGUGUUGCAUAGCAGCAUGUUCUCUGAAAUGUGCAAGCAGCUGCAAAGAAGUUAAUAGCCUACAGAUUCCUGUUUCAAAUGCUGGAAAUAGUAUUAAGUAAUAGUAAUUUUCCAGAUACUGUAGGCUCCAGUGUAUCUGGGUUUUUUUGGGCAUCUUCCAAAAUUUCGUAUGUAGUAUUUGGAUGGUCAGCAAAACCUCUACUUUGGACUUCCAGAGAGUGGACUCCAAGCCAUUCUCCAUCGUUUAUCAUCCGUCCUGGCUAACUGGGGAGGUCCCAGAUGAGUGGAGGUUGGACAAGGUGAUAUCCACAAGAAGAGGCAGAAGCAGGAUCUGUGGAACUACAGGCCUCUCAGCCUGACCUCAGUGUCUGAUGGGAGAUGAAAGAAGAUGCAGAUCUUGAAGAUGAGGAGAAAGUUAUGGUGGAACAUUUAAAAAAUGUUUAUUUGAUACCGAGCAUUCCUAUCUCAGAGAAUAAAGAAGAACAAUUACCUUGACAGAUUUUGGGGAGCAGCUUUUUUCUGAAUUCAACAUGAUUAAUUUAAUGGCUUACUUAUUAAUCAUGGUGUAUUCUGGACAGGACUAGAAAGCUCAGGAAUAUGUAUUUCCUGUAGGAGAUAAUAGGAGUUUUAAAGUAAAGAGUAUUCCCCCGUUAUUGUCUAGUCACCCCAUCCAGGCAGCAAUUGUUCAUGCAUGCAUAAGGCGAGCAACAAUAUAUGACAAUGUCAAUGUCACAAAACAAGGAGAGUGUAUCUCAAUACUCUGCAGAAUAAACCUGAGUGACAAAUCAAGAAUUGUUUUAAAAGUAUAAAACUCACUCUGAAAAUAAUGCAAAUUUAGACACAUGCUAAGCAAACACUCCUGGCUUCCAUCCACCACUUUGGAGUUGUACUCUCUGUCCGCAGAGACUGUCCCCAGCUAGUGUCACUCAAGGAACUUUUCUCUCCUUGUUUAUUAGAUCCCCUAAAACACAUGAAAAGGUACAGUUAUAGACCAUAAAUCUGCAGUCCUUUGUGAGUUGGUCCAGAAUGGGUACACUUGGCCAUUAUUCCCAAUCAAAAAUGCAUCAGCCUUAUUACCCUCACAGAUCCUAACUGAACAUCCAGUAUAUGUUAUGGCUUAAAAAACACAUUAUAGAGCAACUAGAAGUUUUGAGAAGCAUCUUUUUAUUUAAAAGAAUUAUUCACAGGCACUGCUCAGAGGAUUAUCUUAGCAGUGAACUGAGAGAAUUAUAAAUAAUAUCUAUUUCUGAUAAAUACAGUAAAAUUUUAUUUUCAAAAUAAUCCAGGUUUGAUAUUAAAAUUUUUCUAAAUAUUAAAUCUUUUUCUUAUACACUUGUAAAAACUAUCAGCGUGACAAUAUUUUUUAUACAGAUGUUGUGGUUAGUAUUUCUUUAUCUGUACAGAAAUAAUCCAUAAUUUUUCAGUUUGUUUCUUGCACUGGAAUUCAAAUGGAACUAUUUUAUCUGCUUGAUGAAGGACCCUCACAAGAUCUUGCUAAGGCUGCAACCUGUGCAGCAGCUAUUCCUGUUCCCAGCACAUUUUCACACAGAUGUUAUUAUGGAUAUAACUCAGACCACUUAAAUAGGAGGAAGGCAUCUUUUCAAACCAUCUAGGGAUGGUGACUCCACCACCAUUAUACAGUUUCUGCAGUAAAGCGAUCCAGGCUCCAACAGACAACAGCCAAAGUGUCUGCGCUGCCCUGAGUCACAUCCGUACUCUAUCUAAAAAUGAGGCAAAGAACUAUAUAACCAGGAUCAUAUUCAACAGGUUUGAUCUUUUCCAGUUACUAGGUCAAACAGAAUGCUAUGUCUUGCCUUGCCAAACUCAGGUUUCAAACUUCAUUAAUGGUGGAGGUUUGCUGCAAUAGCACGUAACUUUUUCUUUUUAGGACAACCUUUUAGAAAAAUAAUAUGUUUUCAGUUCUCCCAAUAAAUAAAUACAUUGACUAAAAUCACUUCCAUAAACCAGUCAUUAAAAAGCCUGAUGAAUAAUUAGCAACGCCUCCAUGAGUGUUCCUUACAGUCGGUAACUGUGAAUGACAUUGUUAUGUACAUUCUGUCCCAAGUUUAAUUCACUAGAGGAUGGAAAUGUGGUUAUAUAAGCAACUUUGGUAAAUUUGUAAUUGCCUGAUAUUCAACUAUUUUAUCCUUUUUUUCCCAUAAUUUGUUGUUUUGAUGUAAAAAAAUCUGAUAACUUUUGAGUAUUUGGUGUCCAUAAAGAAGUAGGGUCAUAUAGUUCUUCAUGGGUCAGGUGACUCUGAUUUGUUUUCCACCUCAGGAAUGCCUUUCAGGCAUCCUUGACAAACUUACUGUUUUACUAAUAUUUGCUGUAAUUUAGAAUGUGAUACUAUUCCACUCAGUUAUACAUGGGUAAAUAAUUAAUCUUCUAGAGUUAACUGUUACACAGACUUAAAGCAGUGUAGGUCCUAUGGGCAAUAAUUUCAGGUUUAGGAUCUGAACACUUCUGUUCCUAAUGUUCCACAUGAAUUCCACAGUAUGUAUGUUCUUCCAUUGUUCUAAGCUACCUUUGUUACCUGGCAUAGUGGAAGCUAUGCAGCUAGUGAGUUAUGUUUUUUACAUAAACUGAUGUAUUUUGCCCCAGGUUUUAUUUUCUUUGAUUUCUCUGAACUUUUAAUUUACACUUGGAAAUCCAUAGCACAUCUGUUUUGACAACCUACAAACACCUAAAUACUUAUCAGUAAAGCCUAUGCCUUCUCAAACCUGAUAGAGAGUCUUAGAGAACCAAGAAUUCAAUAAAUGUAAAAUUCAAACCAACCACUUGCAAGGUUAUAGUUCAAGAAGUGCAGUAGUUGUUUUCACUUGAAUUUUCACUUCUCUGUAAAAUCCAGAAAUUUCAUGUUUAAGGAGUUGUUUGCUAAUGUACAGGAAACUUUAUUGGUAUGUAAAUAUGUAUAUAUUCCAUAUAAUAAACAUGUCUUAAGUGGAUUUUAUUACUUA